rnacentral:rRNA from 1 species
UACAGAGGUCCCAAGCGUUACUGAGAAUCACUGGGUUUAAAGGGUGCGUAGGUGGUCCGUUAAGUCAGUUGUGAAAUCCCCGGGCUCAACUCGGGAACUGCUUCUGAUACUGGCGGACUUGAGGCCAGUAGGGGUCAUAGAACUGACGGUGGAGCGGUGAAAUGCGUAGAUAUCGUCAGGAAUGCCGGUGGUGAAGACGGGUGACUGGGCUGGUUCUGACACUGAGGCAC